AACAUAAUAUUGUCUUGUGCUUAUAUAAUUAGUUUUUGUGUAUUUCGGAUUCCGUUUACAUCUAGGUACCUACUAUGUCGGGGUCCUACGAGAAAGCUGGCGUAUCAACGCCACGAAUAUUCAGGCGCCCGUAAAUCGUCAAAACGAGUGAAAAGCGCAUUCAGUUGGAUACAUGUGGACGACAAGAUAGUAAACCUGUAAAUUAUAACUCAAGUUGUGGCCAGCUUCAUUGUAAACAAACUUUAGUUUUCAAGUUCAAGGACAAAUGCGUGUCAGUAACAUGGAUAAAUGCUACUUCAUAUGUUUUAUUUCAGUCAAUGAACCUUUGACUGUUAUAGAAGUUUGUCGAGAUAAUAUAAUGACUUUAUCAGCAAUAUGAUGCCAAAGUUAAUACACUUUUUUAAAGAAUGUAUUCUGCCAGAAAUAGUUUUGAGACAUGUUCAAAAAAUGCGAAAUGUAUACCUAGGUAUGAAAGCAGCUGUGUAGCGGUAGUUUCCAGGCAAUAAUGAGGAAGGAUGAGCGAAAACAACACGACAAAUGUUUUUUUAUUGUACUAUUAUAGUAGUGUGUUUAGAAUCUACAUUAUCAAUGUUUACAGUCAUGUUUUUUUUGAUGUCAGAAAACUGAAAUGGUGUACUCGUCGUAAUGAACAUAAUGUUCAUAAUGUGAUAUGAAUACAUUGACCUAUUUUAAGGUUUCUGAAAAACAAAAAGGAAAGUUGUUGCUUUUUUAUUUCCUUAUGUAGUAUAGUGAUUAUGGAUGCUUAGAUAUUCUCAAACAUUUUUCCGCUUUGAUUGCAAUCUAUUAUUCUGGUUGCCUUGUUUAUGAAUUAUAGUUUUGAAUUAUUAUUUUGAAUGAGAUUAUUUUUUAAUAAUCAGUCACGUAUCAAGCAUUCAUGUCACAUAAAUACUUGUAAUAAUUGCAGGUUAGUAUAUACAUUCUAUUAAAUAAUGUAUAAGAUAAUAAAAUAAAACUGUCUUACAUUGCA